UGCAGCUCUACGGUCAGCCUGCCUCAGAGCUAGACGUAGGAUGCAAAGAGCUCGCACCGAGGAUGCAAGAGAGAACCGCCGUGAAGUGUUUCGAGCUGCGAAAUUGGCCCUUAACAAGGCUAUUAAAAGCCGUAAGAGAGCGUGUUUCGACAACCUGUGACCUACAGGUGUAACCGCUUGUUACAAUGUUGAUUGUCGGCUUCGCCACAAUGAAAAUGUACUCUAGAUUAGCUCAAUUAAUUCCAACAAUCCUAAGUCCUACCCUAGGUAUAUUGUCAGCUGUGUGAGUGGUAGUCCUCCAAGUCUGACGUUUACGUCUGGGACGGAGGAGUCACUCACGCGGGAGCACUCUCAACUAGGGUAACUCAAUCACAACGGUUUGAGCGAAUGACGUCGCGCAACAUGUCAUUCAUCGCUGUUGCAGCAAUGGGAAGGGCUGCCAGGUUUAAACAAUGGAAGUGUCAGAUCGGAUGAUAUGGAGAAAAUUGAGGUUUUCUUGGUACCAUCCGAGCCUAGUCAGACUCAGCAAUGACCAAGAACGGUCUUUCGGUCCUCAGCAUUCGAGGAAAUAAGAAGUGCGCGCGGUUUUGUUUUAAUUACAGGAAGGUUAGUCGAUUAAUAGAAAGUAAAACAGAUUAAAAUGUGUUAAAUAUAAAAAUUCUUUUGUACGUGUCACAGACAGGGAAGACGAACACGGAAAAUCACGAAACACCUACAAAUUAAAAAUAAGAUAAAAAGGUCCCCAGCGGGCCUUUUUAUUUCGGGCUUUGAACUUCGUUCGAAGCGGUUUAAUUCGCAGGAAGAAAUCGUGAUGACGAAGAGCUACCAGUACGACGCGCCCGAAGGUUCGUCGCCAUUGUUCUAAUGAACAGCUUUCCUUCUACAAGCAAGGAUCAAGCCCGUACAAGAGCGACGGGAAGGUCGUCGCCAUAUUGUCUGCGGAAUCAGUUUCCUGCAACGAGCUAUAUCCGCACCGCUUCCUGCUAACACAACAGCCGCAUGAGUCAUCGCAACGGAAAGACUGUUGACAUUUUGCCUUAUACUACAAGUUUUCGCCCGUUAUCAUCGAUGGUUAGCUUCGCCAAUCCUACACCAACAAAUAACCCGCAAGUAGUAGAUUAGAUAAGUGACGUCACAUAGAAUUAAGAACAAAAAGGGGGGGGGGAUUAAAAUAAAU